ensembl:lncRNA
GUGCUGUAUUUUCCAUGCCCUCACUCCUUUAAGAAAAAAAAAGGAAAAAAGCAACACGAGCCUGUCCUUGCUGUUGUGAUUGCAGUCUUGGUUUCCCUGUGGUGACAGCUGGGCACUGGGGACAAAUGUCAAACACCCCCCAAAGACGGGCCCUCCGUUGCAGGAGUCGCAGCUCGAGCUUGCAGCUACAGCCUCGACUGGGGGCCAGCGUCCAGGCGGUGGCUAAUGUGAGUGGCAACUGGGGGGCCAGCGUCCAGGCGGUGACUAAUGUGAGUGGCAACUGGGGGGCCAGCGUCCAGGCGGUGGCUAAUGUGAGUGCCAACUGGGGGCCAGCGUCCAGGCGGUGGCUAAUGUGAGUGGCAACUGGGGGCGAGCGUCCAGGCAGUGGCUAAUGUGAGUGGCAACUGGGGGCCAGCAUCCAGGCGGUGGCUAAUGUGAGUGGCAUCUGUGGACUGACGGGGGAGUCGCCUGUCGUCUGGAUCAAGAGAAGCCGGGGAUGGGCCUGUACACCUGGGAGCACAGGCUGCAGAGGGGCCUGCUGUCCUGGACUCUCCCUGAGACAGGUGAUCUGUGUAGAAACCGGGGCCCUGGGGGCCCUGUGGCUGGAGGUCGCGGUGUGCGGCAUUCACAGGCGGGCGGUGCACGUGGCCGUCAGCGUGCUGCAUUCCUCCAUGUCUUCAGGCCCCACUGAAGGCUGUUUGGUGGUUUUGUUGGUUUUUGUUUACUGUUUUUAAUAAGUGCCUCCUUUCUAGCCUUUGUUACCUCACCUUCACUUUUGGGUGUUGGUACCAAGUGGAGCUCCCGUCACCACCUACCUGCUCAGCCUGUCCAGGAGACCAGCGGCAUCCCCUGCAGCUGUGGUUCAUGCUGCACACGUCCCAGGACGGAGGCUUCCGCUGUCCACACAGCUCCCAGCAGUCUCUGGGUUCAGCGGAGACGGGGAGUACACGGUGCGACCCCUGCUGAGGAGCCAGCCCUCUUAAGCCCUCAAGGAUGCCGAUGGCUAACUAAGGGGCGGGGCGAGAGGUGGGGGGGACUCUUCCACAAUGACCCUGAUUAAGGGCAAGUGCCGACCAUAGUCAAAAAUAACCUCCUGGCAGUCAUUUUCAUUUUUCUGACUUUUCAUUAUAAAACAAUUCCAGACAGAAGGUAAAUUUCUGUCAUCACUCCUAUGCAGGUUUAGUA